rnacentral:tRNA from 2 species
AAACAUUCUAGUAGCUUAACCU